rnacentral:lncRNA from 1 species
AUGCUCCCGAGGGCGGCCGGGGUGGGAAAACGCAAAGGAUCCCGGAAUCCAGGUGUUGCCCACGCGUGGCCGUGUCGGUCGCGGUGCCCGUGUCUGGCUCUGCCGCCCAUCCCRGGGGACAAGUCCCCUCCAGGCGAACGGUUCCCGGAGCCCCAGCUAUCCGCGGGCGGAUGGUGGGGUGUGAUGGAGCCGGUGGGAUCUCCGAGGUGCCGUGGGAGCGGGUGGGAAAGGCCGGAGGCGGCUGCCAGGGGGCGGGUGCUGAGCGCCGUGGGUGAGACGUGGGGCUUGGUGCUGGGAGGAUCGGAGAGCGGGAGAGGGGAGGUGGGAGACGGGGGAGAUGGGGGAGGCAGGAGACGGGAUAGAUGGGAGAUGGGAGAUGGGAGACAGGAGACAGAAGAUGGGAGAUGGGAGACAGUGGAGAUGGGAGACAGGGGAGAUGGGAGACGGGAGAUGGGGGAGAUGGGAGACGGGACAUGGGAGACAGCAGAGAUGGGAAAUGGGAGAUGGGAGACAGGAGAUGGAAGAUGGGAGAGAUGGGGGACAGGAGAUGGGAUACGGGAUAUGGGAGAGAUGGGAGAUGGAAGACAGGAGAUGGGAGAGAUGGGAGAUGGUGGAGAUGGAAGACAGGAGAUGGGAGAUGGUGGAGAUGGGAGAUGGGAUACGGGAGAGAUGGGAAACGGGAGAUGGGAGACAGUGGAGAUGGGAAAUGGGAGAUGGGAGGUGGGAGAUGAGGGAGAUGGGGGAGAGGGAAACGGGAGAGAUGGAGGAGACGGGAGAUGGGAGAUGGGAGAAAUGGGAGAUGGCAGAGAUGGGAGAUGGGGGAAGUGGGAGAUGAGGGAGAUGGGAGAUAGGAGACGGGAGAGGGGGCGGAUGGGAUGUGGGGAGACGGGAGAGACAAGAGAUGGGGGAGACGGGAGACGGGACACAGUCAAGACGGCCGCGGCGGCACCUCCCGGCUCAGCCCAACUCCGGCUCCCCCAGCUCCCCGCAGCCGUCGUGGCGGGAUGA